rnacentral:rRNA from 1 species
GACGAACCCGUGCGAACGUUGUUCGGAUUCACUGGGCUUAAAGGGCGCGUAGGCGGGCAUCCAAGUCCGGGGUGAAAUCUUUCGGCUUAACCGGAAAAGGGCCUUGGAUACUGGAUGUCUCGAGGGAAGUAGGGGUCGCUGGAACUUCCGGUGGAGCGGUGAAAUGCGUUGAUAUCGGAAGGAACGCCGGUGGCGAAAGCGAGCGACUGGACUUCUACUGACGCUGAGGCGCGAAAAGCCAGGGGGAGC